GGAAACCUGCUGCCAGUUCAGCUCCAUGUGACUGACUGUGUGUUUGCAUAUGUGUCCUGCCUCUCUGCUCCAGCUGUUAAGAGGUCAGAGUUGAUCAGUGGCUGUCCAGGCCUUUCAGAGCCACUGACACACCAGCAGCACAAUGAUGAUGUCACUGACUCUACUGCUGACCAUCCUGGGGCUCCUGGUUCAGGGUUCAUCAGGAGACAUAAUUAUGACUCAGACUCCGGGAUCUCUGUCUGUUGAUCCAGGACAGAGAGUCUCCAUUGAAUGUAAAGCCAGUGAACAUAUCAGCAAUGAGGUAGACUGGUACCUCCAGAAACCUGGAGAAGCUCCCAAACUCCUGAUUUAUUGGAGAUCAAAUCGUCAGCCUGGAGUUCCUGAUCGUUUCAGUGGGAGUCAGUCUGGAACUGAUUUCACUCUGACCAUCAGCAGAGUUCAGGCUGAAGAUGCAGGAGUUUAUUACUGUCAGCAGGAUUACAGCUUACCGUUCACACAGAGAUACAACGUCGUACAAAAACCUCCCUCAGCUGCAGAGGAACUGAUCCGCAGUUGGACUGAAGCAGAAGAUGAUCACAGAAUCAUGUUCAAAAUGGCUCAUUUAAACAUCACAUUUUUAUUUAAAUAG